GCACAAGCUUAAAGAGUUGCAGUCUGUGUGUGAAGUCCUUUACAUUACUGGAAGAGAAAUAAGCAGAGAGGUCCUACAAAGAUCCUAUCUCACACACACAAAAAAUAAUGCAGGAAGUAUUACAUAUAUUAAAUUCUGAUUGAAUCUGAAGAGGUAAGCCUAAUCCAUUUUCUCCUUGAGGUUCAUCCUGGCCCACAGGACCUCACCAGCUGGGAGCAUCACUGAGCACAUCCAUGGAACAUGCUGUGGUAUUGAUUUAAGAAUCUUGUCUUAGGGCCAGAAAUUUUACAACUGAAGUCCUGAAAGACAACCUGCAAGAAAAAAAAAUCCAUAAAAAUAGGAAGGAGAUGAGAGGAGAUGGACUGCAAAAUGCCUAAGAUGUGAAGAAAGCUGAACUCAUGCACUGCUGGAAAUUAGAGAAAAAGAGGCUUUAUAUUUGCACAACUCCAGAGUAAAACUUCAACAUCACUUUGCAAAUGCUUUGACAUGAAAAUCAAUCAGCUGCAGUACCUAUGUCCGUAGGAAAGCAAGGUUCAUUAUACUCAGCUCUUAGAAAACAUUAAUUCUCUCUAGGUAGGAUUUACUGGUUCCACCUCUGCUAAUAAAUAAAACAGGUCAGGUCUUUUUCUCUGUCCAAGAAGGACAACCUGCACAGAUCUCACUCACACAUUUAAAAUUUCUUCCCUCUCAAGUUGUGCCUGAGCUCAUAUCAUAUAACGGGACUAACCUGUGCUCUGGAAUUUUUGGGAGUGCUGGAUUUUUUGCACCAAAGCUGCAUCAGGAACCAUGUCAAUGACUUAACAGAAUAUAGGCAUGCAUGGUGGUAGCUGUGCUAUGUCCUCGACCAUUUCUGUAUACUGGUAUUUAA